GUAGAGUCAGUGUGCUCAGGCAUGAUUUCAGGAGAGCUGCUCCUGUCUACUCCCCCAGCACCCAGGUGAUAUUAGGGUGGAAAUUGUCAAGCAGCUUGCAGAGAAGUGAAGAGAGCUGGCAGUGAUGCAGCUGGACCUGGAGGUCAGGCCCUCUGAAAGUGAGACACUGUUGGGUCACCUCAGGAGCCUCAUUAAAGGCAGCUUUACAUGGCUCUGCCACCUCCUCAAAGAGGUGUGGUCUGCUGUCAGGAUCUUCUGAAAGGGGUGAGAAAAAUGACACAGAGAACAGGACUGAAACUGACAAAUUAAGCUUCUGGACAAUCCAAACAUCAUGAAGCUGCUCCACAUCACAAAAUGCAUCUUCAUGGUGAUAGAAUAUACAGCAAAGGGAGAUGUUUUGAGCCACAGAAGGUUGACA
rnacentral:lncRNA from 1 species